GAUGAACGCUGGCGGCGUGCCUAAUACAUGCAAGUCGAGCGAACAGACGAGGAGCUUGCUCCUCUGACGUUAGCGGCGGACGGGUGAGUAACACGUGGAUAACCUACCUAUAAGACUGGGAUAACUUCGGGAAACCGGAGCUAAUACCGGAUAAUAUAUUGAACCGCAUGGUUCAAUAGUGAAAGACGGUUUUGCUGUCACUUAUAGAUGGAUCCGCGCCGCAUUAGCUAGUUGGUAAGGUAACGGCUUACCAAGGCAACGAUGCGUAGCCGACGUGAGAGGGUGAUCGGCCACACGGGAACUGAGACACGGUCCAGACGCCUACGGGAGGCAGCAGUAGGGAAUCUUCCGCAAUGGGCGAAAGCCUGACGGAGCAACGCCGCGUGAGUGAUGAAGGUCUUCGGAUCGUAAAACUCUGUUAUUAGGGAAGAAAAAAUGUGUAAGUAACUAUGCACGUCUUGACGGUACCUAAUCAGAAAGCCACGGCUAACUACGUG
rnacentral:rRNA from 1 species